rnacentral:rRNA from 1 species
GUUGUAUAGUCAAGUAACUAAGUGCACAUGGUGGAUGCCUUGGCAGUCAGAGGCGAUGAAAGACGUGUGAGCCUGCGAAAAGCUUCGGGGAGGCGGCAACAAUCCUGUGAUCCGGAGAUGUCUGAAUGGGGAAACCCACUUACCAUAAGGUAGGUAUCAAUACAUGAAUACAUAGUGUAUUGAGGCGAACGAGGGGAAGUGAAACAUCUCAGUACCCUUAGGAAAAGAAAUCAAUUGAGAUUCCCGUAGUAGCGGCGAGCGAACUGGGAUAAGCCCAUUAAGUCUAGUGUGUUUUAGAGGAAUGAGAUGGAAAUCUCAGCCGUAGUAGGUGAUAGCCCUGUACUUAAAAGGGCACAUUAGAUGAAUCGAGUAGGGCGGGACACGUGAUAUCCUGUCUGAACAUGGGGGGACCAUCCUCCAAGGCUAAAUACUCCUGACUGACCGAUAGUGAACCAGUACCGUGAGGGAAAGGCGAAAAGAACCCCUGUGAGGGGAGUGAAAUAGAUCCUGAAACCGUGUGCAUACAAGCAGUGGGAGCGGACUUGUUCCGUGACUGCGUACCUUUUGUAUAAUGGGUCAGCGACUUAUAUUCUGUAGCAAGGUUAACCGUUUAGGGGAGCCGUAGGGAAACCGAGUCUGAAUAGGGCGUUUAGUUGCAGGGUAUAGACCCGAAACCGAGUGAUCUAUCCAUGAGCAGGAUGAAGGUGCCGUAACAGGCACUGGAGGUCCGAACCCACCGUCGUUGAAAAGCCGGGGGAUGACUUGUGGAUAGGGGUGAAAGGCUAAUCAAACUCGGUGAUAGCUGGUUCUCCCCGAAAGCUAUUUAGGUAGCGCCUCGGACGAACACCAUUGGGGGUAGAGCACUGUUUCGGCUAGGGGGUCAUCCCGACUUACCAAACCGAUGCAAACUCCGAAUACCGAUGAGUGAUAUCCGGGAGACAGACUGCGGGUGCUAACGUCCGU